rnacentral:tRNA from 1 species
GGCCGCUUAGCUCAGCUGGUUAGAGCAUCGUACUAAUACGAAGACAUCGUAUCAGUCCACAUGCGGAGGUCGGCAGUUCGAUCCUGUCAGUGGUCA